rnacentral:rRNA from 1 species
CCUACGGGGUGCAGCAGUAGGGAAUCUUCCACAAUGGGCGCAAGCCUGAUGGAGCAACACCGCGUGAGUGAAGAAGGGUUUCUGCUCGUAAAGCUCUGUUGUUGGGGAAGAACGUGCGUGAGAGUAACUGUUCACGCAGUGACGGUAUCCAACCAGAAAGUCACGGCUAACUACGUGCCAGCAGCCGCGGUAAUACGUAGGUGGCAAGCAUUAUCUGGUUUUAUUGGGCGUAAAGGGAGAGCAGGCGGUUGCUUAGGUCUGAUGGGAAAGCGUUCGGCUUAACCGAAGAAGUGCAUCUGAAACCGGGCGACUUGAGUGCAGAAGAGGACAGUGGAACUCCAUGUGUAGCGGUGGAAUGCGUAGAUAUAUGGAAGAACACCAGUGGCGAAGGCGGCUGUCUGGUCUGCAACUGACGCUGAGGCUCGAAAGCAGGGGUAGCGAACAGGAUUAGAUACCCUUGUAGUC